CAUAUCACUUUCAAACAUCAGUUCUCGUACGAUCACCGAAGUUAAGCAAUAUCGAGGCUGGUGAGUACCUAGAUGGGUGAUCACUUUGGAAUACCA